rnacentral:rRNA from 1 species
ACUUGCCUCUUGGUCUGGGACAACUGUUGGAAACGACAGCUAAUACCGGAUAUUAUGAGAUUCUCGCAUGGGAAACUUAUGAAAGCUAUAUGCGCCAAGAGAGAGCCUUGCGUUCCAUUAGCUAGUUGGUGGGGUAACGGCCCACCAAGGCGACGAUGGAUAGCCGGCCUGAGAGGGUGAACGGCCACAAGGGGACUGAGACACGGCCCUUACUCCUACGGGAGGCAGCAGUGGGGAAUAUUGGACAAUGGGCCACAAGCCUGAUCCAGCAAUUCUGUGUGCACGAUGAAGGUCUUCGGAUUGUAAAGUGCUUUCAGUUGGGAAGAAGAAAGUGACGGUACCAACAGAAGAAGCGACGGCUAAAUACGUGCCAGUAGCCGCGGUAAUACGUAUGUCGCAAGCGUUAUCCGGAUUUAUUGGGCGUAAAGCGCGUCUAGGCGGAAAAAUAAGUCUGAUGUUAAAAUGCGGGGCUCAACUCCGUAUUGCGUUGGAAACUGUUUUUCUAGAGUACUGGAGAGGUGGGCGGAACUACAAGUGUAGAGGUGAAAUUCGUAGAUAUUUGUAGGAAUGCCGAUGGAGAAGUCAGCUCACUGGACAGAUACUGACGCUAAAGCGCGAAAGCGUGGGGAGCAAACAGGAUUA